GCACACAACGAAGGAGAGGAAGAAGGGAGGAAGGCACUUCACAAGCAGAGCUGAGCCAGCAGGGCAGCAAGGCAGAAAGGGACUGAGAUUGUACCUGGAAGUAUCCCAGUGGCUGGAUAUUCAAGAUCAUUAUGUCCAUGCCAGAGAAAUCAAGUUAUACCACCACUUCUUGGCCUUUUGCCUAAGAUCAAGUGUAGAAAUCAAGUUAAACCAAACCAAGUGAGGAUUUCAGUUAUUUCUCUGAAAAGCUGGAAGUAGUCUCUUUGAAAACCAGUACAAGAUAAGGAUGCCCUUUCUUUCCACUCCUAUUCAACAUAGUAUUAGAAGUUCUGGCCAGGACAAUCAGGCAAGAGAAAGAAAUAAAGGGUAUUUAAUUAGGAAGAGAGGAAGUCUAGUUGUCUCUGUUUGCAGACGACAUGAUUGUAUAUUUAGAAAGCCCCAUCAUCUCAGCCCAAAAACUUCUUGAACUGAUAAGCAACUUCAUCAAAGUCUCAGGAUCUAAAAUCAAUGUGCAAGAAUCACAAGGAUUUAUUUACAUCAACAAUAGGCAAGCAGAAAGCCAAAUCAUAGGUGAACUCCCAUUUAUAAUUGCUACAGAGAGAAUAAAGUACCUAAGAAUACAGCUAAAAAGGGACAUGAAGGACCUCUUCAGGGAGAACUACAAAACACUGGUCAAAGAUAUAAGAGAGGACACAAAGAAAUGGAAAAACAUUUCACCCUCAUGGACAGGAAGAAUCAAUAUCAUGAAAAUGGCCAUACUGCCCAAAGUAAUUUAUAGAUUCAAUGCUAUUCCCAUCAAACUACCAUUGACAUUCUUCACCGAAUUAGAAAAACCUAUUUUAAAUUUCAUAUGAAAUCAAAAAAGACCCUGUAUAGCCAAGACAAUCCUAAGCAAAAAGAACAAAGCUGGAGACAUCAUGCUACCUGACUUCAAACUAUACGACAAGCCUACAGUAACCAAAACAGCAAGGCACUGGUACCAAAAGAGAUAUAUAGACCAAUGGAACAGAAGAGAGACCUCAGAAAUAACACCAAACAUCUACAACCAUCUGAUCUUCGACAAACCUGACAAAAACAAAAUAGGAAAAAGGAUCUUCUAUUCAGUAAAUGCUGCUAGGAAAACUGGCUAGCCAUAUGCAGAAAACUGAAACUGGACUCCUGCCAUACACCUUAUACAAAAACUAACUCAACAUGGAUUAAACACUUAAAUGUAAAACCCAAAACCAUAAAAACCCUAGAAGAAAACCUAGGAAAUCCAUUCAGGACAUAGGCAUGGGAAAAGAUUUCAUGGCAAAAACACCAAAAGCAAUUGCAACAAAAGCCAAAAUUGACUAAUGGGAUCUAAUUAAUCUAAAGAGCUUCUGCACAGCAAAAGAAACUAUCAUCAGAGUAAACAGGCAAUCUACAGAAGGGGAGAAAAUUUUUGAAAUCUACCCAUCUGACAAAGGUCUGAUAUUCAGAAUUUACAAGAAAAAAACAACCCCAUCAAAAAAUGAGCAAAAGGUAUGAACAUACACUUCUUAAAAGAAGACAUUCACGUGGCCAACAAACAUAUGAAAUAAAGCUCAACAACACUGAUCAUCAGUGAAAUGCAAAUUGAAACCACAAUGAGAUACCAUUUCAUGCCAGUCAGAAUGGCAGUUAUUAAAAAGUCAGGAAACAAUAGAUGCUGGAGAGGAUGUGAAGAAAUAGAAAUGCUUUUACACUGUUGUUGAGGAUGUAAGUUAGUUCAACAAUAGUGGAAGACAGUAUGGUGAUUCCUCAAGGACCUAGAACCAGAAAUACCAUUUGACCCAGCAAUCUUAUUAUGGUGUAUAUACACAAAUAAUUAUAAAUCAUUCUACUACAAAGACUCAUGCACACGUAUGUUUAUUGCAGCACUAUUUACAGUAGCAAAGACGUGGAACCAACCCAAAUGCCCAUCAAUGAUAGACUGAAUGUGGUACAUGUACACCACGGAAUACUAUGCAGCCAUAAAAAAGAAUGAGAUCAUGUUCUUUGCAGGGACAUGGAAGAAGCUGGAAGCCAUCAUUCUCAGCAAACUAACACAGGAACAGAAAACCAAACACUGCAUGUUCUCCUUCAUAAAUGGGAGUUGAUCAUUAAGAACACAUCGACACAGAAAGGUGAACAACACACACCAGGGCCUGUUGGGGGGUGAGGGGUGAGGGGAGGAAACAUAGAGGAUUGGUCAGUAAGUGCAGCAAACCACCAUGGCACAUGUAUACCUAUGUAACAUACCUGCACAUUCUGCAAAAGUAUCCAGUUUGUUUAUUUUUUGUUUUUUGUGGGGUUUUUUUUAGAAGAAAUAAAUUAAAAAAGAAAGAAACCUGAAGAUAAUGGCUUAAAUAGGAUAAAAGUUUAUCACACCUGUAAAAACUCCAAGUCCAUUCCAAGGUGGCAUGUUACUCUGCUCUACAAAGAUACCAGGGGCCCAGGUUUGUUUUUUGUUUUUCUUGUGAUUCUGCCAUCACUGUGGUAUUCACUUUAUCCCUCAUGUUUCAAGAUACCCAUAAUAGAAUUAAAGUCAGUGGGGAGAAGAAAAGAGGAGGGCUGGCCCCUUCCACUUUAACAAUGCUACUCUGAAGCUGCUUUUUUUUUUUUUUCUGUUUUGACACAAAGUCUUGCUCUGUCACCCAGGCUGGAGUACAGUGGCACAAUCUCGGCUCACUACCACUUCUGCCUGCCGGGUUCAUGUGAUUCUCUUCCCUCAGCCUCCUGAGUAGUUAGGGUUACAGGCACUCACCAUCAUGACCAGCUAAUUUUUGUAUUUUUAUAGAUAUGGGGUUUCACCAUGUUGGCCAGGCUGUUCUUGAAUGCCUGACCUCACGUGAUCCACCCUCCUUGGCCUCCCAAAGUGCUGGGAUUACAGGCAUGAGCCACCACACCAAGCAUCAGAAUACUACUCUGAAGUUUCAUGCAUUAUUUUUUCACAUGAUAUUGUCAAGAACCUAUUCAUGUAACAAUAUCUGUAUUCAAGGAAAUCUGGAAAACAAUCUUUUUUUUUUUCCCCUGAGUUGCCAUACACCUGCUUAACAUGUCUACUUUUAUAGCAAGGGAGAACAAUUAUUGAGAGAUAAGUAGCAGUCUCUGUCAUACUUUUGUAGAAUCUUAAUUUUGAGAAGCUGUAAUUAAUCUUGUAAUUAAUCAUUUGUAUACUUUUUCAAAAAACAUUCAUUGAAUAUCUAACAUCUCACUACCAAGAGUAGAUCAGGACCUCCUGUUCCACUCUUAUAGAUUCUAAUACCUUUCAUUUGUAACAUUAGUUAAUAAUAUUAUGAUUUUGAAAUUUGAUUAAAGCUUAUCUUUCCCACAAGACUUUAGACCCCAUGAAAGUGGAUAUUGUUGUUCAUCAUUUUAUCUCUAAUGCCUGGCACCUACUAUGUGAUUGAUGUAUAAUUUUUGCAUAAAUAAAUAAGUAAAUAAAUAA